rnacentral:rRNA from 1 species
GACGAACGCUGGCGGCGUGCUUAACACAUGCAAGUCGAACGGAAAGGCCUCUUUCGGGGGGUACUCGCGUGGCGAACGGGUGAGUAACACGUGAGUAACCUGCCCUUGACUUUGGGAUAACUUCAGGAAACUGGGGCUAAUACCGGAUAGGAGCUCCUGCUGCAUGGUGGGGGUUGGAAAGUUUCGGCGGUUGGGGAUGGACUCGCGGCUUAUCAGCUUGUUGGUGGGGUAUUGGCUUACCAAGGCUUUGACGGGUAGCCGGCCUGAGAGGGUGACCGGCCACAUUGGGACUGAGGUACGGCCCAGACUCCUACGGGAGGCAGAAGGGGGGAAUAUUGCACAAUGGGUGGAAGCCUGAUGCAGAAACGCCGUGGGCGGGAUGACGGCCUUCGGGUUGGAAACCGCUUUCGCUCAUGACGAAGCUUUGUGUGACGGUAGUGGGUAAAGAAGCACCGGCUAACUACGUG